rnacentral:rRNA from 1 species
UACGGGGGGGGCAAGCGUUGUUCGGAAUUACUGGGCGUAAAGGGCUCGUAGGCGGCCAACUAAGUCAGACGUGAAAUCCCUCGGCUUAACCGGGGAACUGCGUCUGAUACUGGAUGGCUCGAGUUUGGGAGAGGGAUGCGGAAUUCCAGGUGUAGCGGUGAAAUGCGUAGAUAUCUGGAGGAACACCGGUGGCGAAGGCGGCCUGCUGGGCAGUUUAGCUGACACUGAGGCGCGACAGCGUGGGGAGCAAACAGG